rnacentral:lncRNA from 1 species
UGGAUACCGGAAGUGUUUCUGGUGAGCGGGGCUGGCAACCGAGUGGGCUGAGCUGGUUCUGAGCCCAUCUGCGUAGGAGGUGUGGACACUGAGGGCUGCUUCCCGUUGUGACACUCAGUCUUGAGGGUCAAGGGAGGAAGCUUCUCUGGAAAGCUGGACAAUGGCAGUGAGUGGGUGCCUGGAGGACACUGGAGGUAACGAUAAACAACAAAGCAACUUUCCUUCCUCUUCUGUGGAUGACCUAGUCAGAAGGUGGCUGUGAUGAGUGCUUGCUCCCCUGGUUGGGUGGUGAGCUUUGCGGGGAAAUCGCAGCAUCACUUGGGACCACAUGGAGCUAAAUGAGAUGCCGUGAGCUGCCCAGCUCCUCCCUCCUUGGCUCAAGCCCCAGCGCUGCUUCUAGGAAGAAACAGGACCUGC